rnacentral:rRNA from 1 species
UGCGGAGGGUGCGAGCGUUGUCCGGAAUCAUUGGGCGUAAAGGGCGCGUAGGUGGCCCGGUCAGUCUUUGGUGAAAGCGCGGGGCUCAACCCUGCGUCGGCCAGGGAUACUGCCGCGGCUCGAGCACUGUAGAGGCAGGCGGAAUUCCUGGUGUAGCAGUGAAAUGCGUAGAUAUCAGGAGGAAUACCGAUGGCGAAGGCAGGUCUCUGGGCUGACACUGACGCUCAUGCACGAAAGCGUGGGGAGCAAACAGG